GGGGACAGGGCACACAUGCUUUGUCGCAACAGGUGGUGAAUUGGUGAUUAUCUCUGAUACGGCUUUGGUGCCGCGUGUGGCUUUUUAGCCGUGUCUACGCGGAUAGCUGUGUGUUGAUAACACAGAGGUUGACACUGAAGAAUGACAUAAUACUGCAAGAUUUUGUGUGUAACAAUUUUUAAUUUUCAUUAAACAGCAUAAGCUGCUCUUGAUGUGUGAGGGCAGCGCAGUGGCGAGUACGAGCAUGGCGCCGGCCGGGCCGGCCUGCCUGGUUUGCGACGCCGUCUGGUCGCCGCCGCACCGCAG